UACGUAGGGGGCUAGCGUUGUCCGGAAUCAUUGGGCGUAAAGCGCGUGUAGGCGGCCCGGUAAGUCCGCUGUGAAAGUCGGGGGCUCAACCCUCGGAUGCCGGUGGAUACUGUCGGGCUUGAGUACGGAAGAGGCGAGUGGAAUUCCUGGUGUAGCGGUGAAAUGCGCAGAUAUCAGGAGGAACACCAAUUGCGAAGGCAGCUCGCUGGGACGUGACUGACGCUGAGACGCGAAAGCGUGGGGAGCAAACAGG
rnacentral:rRNA from 1 species